GCCUUGCAGGUCUCAGGCCUGUCAAUUUUUUCCCAUGGGCACAUCAUUUCCUCUGACCCGUACCCAUGGGCUUGUGGCGUGUUCAUGUGAAUUGUGAUUGCUAUUUAUAACCAUUUUUAUGUUUAGUUGUUGAAAAAUAAUUUUAUUUUAAAAAAUAAUUUUUAUAGAAAAUAAAUAUUUAUAAAAUGAAUUGUUUUAUGAUAUUUUAUAAUGUCAUGAAAAAUAAAUUGCAAAUUAUUUUUCAGUAUUUAGUUAUGUAAUAAAAAAGAAGUUAAAAAAUAAUUUUUUUAAGUUUAUUAAGAGAAAAAAAACCAAUUUAACAAAUAAAAAAACUGAAGAAUGAUAAAAUAAAUAUAAUUGUUUAAAUUAUUUAAAAUAAAAUAAAUAAUAAUCAAAAUAUUAAGACCAAAUCUAACAAAUAAAAAAGUUAAAAAUGAUAAAAUUAAUAAAAAAUAUAAUUUUACAAAUCAUCUUAAAUAAAAUAAAUACAAUCAAAAGUACGUUAAUCAUAUUUGAUACAUAAAAAAAUUUAAUCAAGAAAGUAAUAAAAUAAAAAUAAAUAAUAAAAAAAAGAUCAAAGUUGAUAUAAAAAUAAAAUUAAAUCAAAUUUUAAUAAACAAAAUUGAAAAAAAAUAAAUUCAAAACACGAUAUAUAGAAAUCAUGAGAUUGAAAAUCAAAUUUGAUAUAAUUAAUAAAUAACUAGGGUUUUUUUUGAAUUUUAUGUAAUUUCUAAAAAGUAUUUUUCGUUCAAGAUAAAAAAAUAUUUUUUUGACAAACAAAUCAAACUUUACUUGGAUUUAAAAAUAUUUUUUGUUGAAUAACUUUUUGAAUGAUAGAUGGACAAAAAUAAUAUAUAGAAAAUCACUUUUCCUAGACAAGCAGGCAAAGGUUUUUGUUUUUAGGUUUUUAAUAUGAAUUAUUUUCCCACUCUUUUCUUAACUGAUGAAUGAAGAAAGCAAAACAAAAGACAAAAUCUCUGUCGGUAAAUUUGCGUAAAAAAGAGAUCAUUUUGCCAAGGAAAGAUCUCGAAUAAAUGAUAUAAAAAAAGCAAUAUAUAAACAUAUUUUAAAUCCAAUCUCUGUUUUUCAUAACCAUGCCUGAUUGCUCCGGUUCAAUUGAAAAAAUAAUUAAAAAUACUUAAUAGAAAGAGUAAUCCAAUUUCACAUUCAAAGAAUUCAAACAAAUAUAAAUCUAUUUCCGUUAAUAUUGCUUUAAACUAUAUCAUCUAGUAAUUUUUAAAAAAACUUGACAGAUUUUGUCAAAUGCUCAAAUAAUAGGCACAAAUUUAAAAAUCAAUUCAGAAUUAUUUAUAAAUAAAAAAUUAAAUCUCAAAUCUCAAAUAUAAAUUCAUAAAAUCCAGAUGAUUUAUCAUAAUAAUCCUCGUCAAAAAUGCACAACACCCUCUCAACUAAAGAACUAGGCUAACAAUAUAUGAAACUUUUUUCAUAUAUUGUUAAAAUUUGAAAUGUUAAAAUUUGUUCAAAUCAUAACAUCGAGGAUUAUUUUUUUAAAUAACACUGUUUUCUGCAAUUUUUGUUUUAAAAAUUCGUGAGGUGGACAUUAAUUAAUAAAACCAAAGUAGAGAACAGUGAGAAAAAAGAAAAAGAAAAAAGAAAAACAAAAGCAAACGAACAGAAAGAAAGAAAGAAAAGCGUGAAAGGCAAGAGAAACAAGCGAGAGCUUACACAGGCAAGCAAGCAAAAUAAAGGCACCACCAGAAUAAUAAAAAGCAACUACAAUAAUAUCAAUAACAAUAAAACUGAUUCUCUUUCUCUUUAAUAGCAACAGCACUAGAUUCCUCUGGCUCGAGAGAGAGAAAGAGGAUUGGUGCGGUUGUUGACAAAUGGACGACGAGGUUGUUCAGCGAUUAUUCCACGAAGGAGGUCGCGAUUACUUCCAGCAGCAACCUUCUACUUCCUCUCCUUCCUCCUCCUCCUCCUCCUCCAUCCUCCAAUCUCUCCCUCUUCAUGUGGUAUGCUUUUCUUCUCUUAUAAUUUUCCGUUAUUUACUUAAUUUAUGAAAAAAAUCAGAUUAAUAUUAAUUGUUGGAUUGGAUUGAUGCAGUCUUUUGAUCACGGAUAUUAUUUACUGGUAAAAUCUCUUCAAGAGCUCAGAGAGAAAAAGGAAGGUCUUGUUACUGUUGGCAUUGGUGGUCCUAGCGGUUCAGGCAAAACAAGGUAUGUGUUCUGUACUAUACAAUUCUUUUAUUUUAUUUUUUUACUGGCGCAAUUUCUUUGAUACUUUCUUUGUUUGUUUGAUGAUCUGUGAAGCUUAGCAGAGAAGGUGGCGUCUGUAAUUGGCUGUGAUGUUAUAUCGAUGGAGAAUUAUCGCACUGGAGUCGAUGACGUGAGUGAUUUGGAUUCAAUUGACUUCGACGCAUUAGUACAAAAUCUCGAGGUUUGCAUUUCCUUCUCAAAUUAUUUUGCUACUUGAUUGGAUUGGAUUGUGCAUUUGACAAGUCUAUAAUUUAAAGUUGACUGGUUUUCCAGUUCUUCGAAAUACAUAACUGUAAUACUUUAGAAACCUAUUCUGGUCACGUGUCAGAAGAUUUUCUUUAUAAAAUAAGCAACCGUAUAUCACUUCACUUAAAUUUAUGCCAAUGCAUUCUGCAUCAAGUUGGUUUUGUCUAUAUUUACAUGGUUGUUUGUGUUGGAAAUAGGAUUUGACGAAAGGAAAAGAUACUUUGAUACCAGUGUUUGAUUACCAACAGAAGAGACGUAUUGGUUCCAAAGGAAUAAAGAGCAUAUCAUCUGGAGUGGUAGGCCAGUGAAAUCAACUGUUACUAUGAUUAUCCUUUUCUUCCGAGGUGUUCAUUUCUUUAAUGUCUUUUUUUUGUUCUUAGGUGAUAGUUGAUGGUACAUAUGCUCUGCAUGCAAGACUGCGCUCUUUACUGGAUAUUCGGGUUGCUGUGGUAACUUAUAAUCUGAAGUUAUAUCUUAAUUUGGAUAAGAGGCUGGAAGCUAUCAUUUUUUGUCAAGCUUCGAAUAUGAUGAUUUCUAAAUGUGGUUGGUGGAUUAGGUUGGCGGAGUUCACUUCAGUCUUCUUUCUAAAGUUCGAUACGACAUUGGGGAUUCUUGUUCGUUGGAUUACCUUAUUGACAGCAUCUUCCCAAUGUUUAGGAAACACAUUGAACCAGACCUUCACCAUGCUCAGGUCAGGGUUCUUUUCCUUACCUUCUACAAUUUUUGAAAUUGCGUUUUAUCCCGUGGUUUUACUCUGCAGAUCAGAAUAAACAACAGCUUUGUCUCAUCAUUUAGAGAAGCAAUCUACAAGCUAAAAUGCAGAAGUGAGGUAUACUCAGUUUUCCAUAGUUCAUUGCUAAGUUAAAUAGUCAAGAACCAACCAUGUCCUUCAUGCUCACUGUGUGAAUGACAUAGUUGUGAAAUUCUAUUGAAGGCUGAAGAUUUUAUGUAAUGUUCAAAAUUUUUUUAGUUGGCAAAGAAAAUUUGCAUAUGAUGCACAGACCAUGGCAAAAUGCUGUUUCCUAACAGUGACGGGUGUCUGGAACUACAUUUUGUUGCACUUCUUGUUAUUGCUCAUGGACUUCACGUUUCCCUCCGUUUCUUUUUAAAUUUGCAGUUCAUUAUUCGCCUGUAACUUAUUAUUCAUCACUUGCACCCUUUUGUUGAAUGUUACUUAAAUGCUAAACUGUCACUACAGUCACCAGGUGGACAUUCUGCUUAUGCCUUCCAUGGAACAGCACAUACAGAUAAGUUAGUGAUUCUCACUUCUCAUGCUGUUUCUCACCAUAAUAUCAGUGCAAAACCAAGUGGUUUAUUCCUGAGCUUGUAUUGCCAAUAAUUCUGAUUGGAACUCUAUGGUGGUUGCAGUUUUAUUGAGAUGUACCUUAGGCCUCCUUCAGCAAGUGAAGAAGCACGGACAAAUGAUUGGAUCAAGGUGCGACAGUCUGGUAUCAAAUACUAUUUGUCACUCGGGGACCAGAGAAUUGUUGACAAACAUUUUAUUAUCAGGCCAAAAGCUGAGUUUGAGGUAAGGGACUUUCCAGUCUGCAAUUCUAGCAUUAAACGUGGACUGAAGAAGCAGAGGUCAUUAUAUAAAAACUGUAUUUGAUUGGUUGUUUAUGAUGCAAUCUAUUGUGUUUCACAUGUAACUGUAAACAUGAUCGAGGAAUACAUUUAUAAUAUCACUUUCUAGAUAGAAAUGAACACCUGUGGCUAAUGUAGAGGAAUAAAUUUACAGCUUUACUUUUCAGAUAGAAAUGACUGCAAGUGCAAUGUGCUGAAUUUAAUUGCUCGUUUCUCUCCCUAAAUAUAAAUCUUAAACUACAGUUCUGCAACUUUCUAAAAAUGCUGUAAGACUAAUUUCAAUCAUCCUAAAGUAGAAGGGAAUCCAUGGACCUUAGGUACACUGUGCGAUCUUUGGGAAGGUGGAAACAUCUGUGUGAAAUAAUCAUUGUUCCUCUAAACUACAAAUGGCUGGGUACACUAUUCAGGCAUCUUAUCCAUCAAUCAAUGAACAUAAACUCAAAAUAAACAGAUACGAGGAAAAAAUUCCAUGGAUUGUAAGGACAUUUCGAUGUCUUCUGGAAGCUUCAGCACAGGAUCCAUACUAUUUAGGCAAUAGUAUCUGAGUAUGUGGUCCUUAAAGUUCAAGACACAUAGGCUUCCUUACUUUCCAAUCAAUGCUGUUACCCUAUCAUUAUUGAAACUGGUAGCUUAGAGUUCUCAAAUGCAUGUGUUUUAAUGUUGUUGGGAAUCUGUAGAUUCCUCUUUGUUUUAUAGGGUUUUGUUUUUAUAGGAUAGCAUUAGUUAGUACUUGAAAUGCAUGUUCAGUUCUCUUAAAAAUUAGACUGUAAUAUUUCAAAAUUCUCAAGCUCUGGUGGUUUUACUCACCUAUUUAAUCAUUUAAUGUUGACAGGUUGGAAGAAUGACACUCGGUGGGUUGCUGGCUUUGGGGUACACUGUUGUAGUGAGUUAUAAACGGGCAUCUUCAUCUGUUAGUGAUGGCAAUCUAUCAAUGUCAUUAGAGACCAUUGAUACUCUUAGUGAGACAUUCAUUGUGCUGAGGGGAACAGAUAGGAAAGUAUGGAUCCAUCUUUCUUAUUAAGAUAACAAGAAGGAGGCUUUAUAAAUCAUUUAUUUGUUUUCUGUUCUUAUAUUUGGGUGAGCAAUUGAGUAAGGCAUUGGAUAAUUUGUAGAAUAAAAUAGUUCUAUACCUUCAUCAUCAUCACCAUCAUCACUAUCCACUCACACAAUCACAUUCACAUGCGCAUAUUUUGUGGGAUAAAUAUUUUUUAUUAGAAAGAUUAGAAUCUACAAAAGUAACAUAUCCACCAGCAAGUAAUAAAAAGAAAGUGAAGGUAAAAACCCAAUGAAUAAUAAGAGAGCUCCAAUCCUGCUAAGUUAGUGAUUUUCCCAAAUGCCUUUGGAUUGUUCCAGAAAUAGGUAUGAAACAUGAUCUCGUCCCGGGAUUUUUUUCCACAAAAGGCUACGCAAAUAACUAUUUUUGAUAAUUUUCAGCACAUGAGUGCAUGAAGCAUUGGGUUUUUUCUGUUUGCUUUAGGGAGAUUGAAUGAAGGAAAAUUCUCCAUUGUGAGUGUUUUGCAUUGGGAGGGGGGAUGUGAAUUCAUGAAUCUUCUGAUGUGCCAGAUUUUAGUAGAAUUUACCUAAUAAUCAUGAUGGGGAUUUCUUAUUUUGUUAUGUAGUGUACAUGAUUGGCAUGUAACUGAACAGGCUGCUGUAUCUUCACUCAUUACUCUAUUGACAUGUUCCAUAACCCAGCUUGAGUUUCCACUAAAUAGUAUCAUCCACUUUUUGUUGCAUUUUUUCUUCAAUCUAUAUGAUAUGUACGAUAGUUUCUGCGCUUUCCAUUGUUGCAGCAAAUAGCUUAUCUCUUAUGUGCUACUUUUGGUUCAAUACCAGAAUUAGAUUGGUCCUUGGACUUGCACUUGAUAACUGUUGGCCAAAGCUUACAUUUUAUCUUGGCUAUUCUUCUCUUAUGUAGACCGUUGGAGCAGAGGCAAUGAGGAUUGGUGUUAAUGGACCUUGGAUCACUAAGUCAUAUCUUGAAUUGAUACUUGAGAGAAAAGGUUUGAAUUGGCAUGAUAAUGAUCAAUACUCUAUGAAUUUGGUUGUUUUGUAUGAUAAAGAUCAAAAGUUACAACUUUCUACAAUUAGCUAAUUCCACUUGCAGGUGUACCACGUCUUAAUACCCCACCACUUUUACCUAAUACUUCUACGACAAGCAAUCAAGAAAGGGCUAUUGUUGCCCCAAGGCCAAUCCGUACCACACCAAACCUUGUUAAUCGGCUUGAGGAUUUAUCUCAGCCAUGGACUCGGUCUCCUACAAAAUCUAAAAUGGAGCCUAUGGUAGAAACAUGGCAUUUUACAUCAUCUGAUACGUCACAUGGGAGUUCCGUCAUAGGUAAGUGUCCUCUAUCUGGAAGAACUGUUACAGAUGCUCUUUAAGUGUUCUUGGUGAUGGACUAUAUUGUUGGGAGUGUUAUCAUUAUGUUUCUUGUUCAGAAGUCUCUCAUGAAGCAACCACAGAUUCUUCCACUUGCAGGGAUAACAUGAAGCUUGCACCUCUGCCUGAUUCAUAUGACUUGGAUAGAGGAUUGCUUCUUGCUGUUCAAGCAAUACAGGUAACAAGUAAAAAAAUUAAAAUGUGUGUUGGCGAAAUUAUACUUCAAGUCUAAGAAGCUUACCGGUAUAAUCAGUCUGGUAAUUUUGUGCAACUUUACAUAUUUUUUCAGGCUUUGUUGGAGAAUAAAGGCUCCCCUGUCAUUGUUGGAAUCGGUAAUAUAUGCUUUGAAGUUUAAAACUCUCUCUCUCUCUCUUUCUCUCUCUCUCACACACACGCUUAUGCACACCCACCCACCCUUCCACCCACAUUUGGGAAAAUAAUUUGUGUUUUUUAGCUAUAGAGUGUUUUUGAAAGUAGUUCAGUUGGUGGUGCAAAUUCUUGAUAAUUUUCAUAUGGCUGAUGUGCACAAUUAAAUCUCAUGUUAAUGGUCUCAGAAGCCUGAGCAUAGUAUAAUACUGGUAAUUAAUUUGGUUUGACAGUGACCUUGAUUGAAAAUGCGUAUUCUUACAUGAAAUAAAGAAUUUUAAUACAAUAUCGAUGUCAAAGAUCAUACAUAUUUCUCAUUUAACAAUGUUUACUGCAAUCAGUUCUAGAAGACAUGGAAACGGUAUUCAGCUUAGUGAACCUACUAUUCACUAGAUGCUACGACUAAGAUGGUAAAAUUUGGAGAGCUCAAUCAUAGAUCAUCCUAUUAUAUGCUAGAUUUUAUUAUCUUACAGGUCGGUAGUGGAGGAGAUUAUAUUAUAGUUCUAUAUCAGCAAUGAGUUGUUGGGCCUAUAUAUUGGUAAUUGACUAUGAAAAACAAAUCUUGCUUUGGUGAUACAUAUAACAGUUUUGGUGAACGUGUGAUAUUGUAAGGUGUUCAUUGGGACUUCAUGCCAGCAGCCACUAGUACAGAUUAUCGUUGUUAGAAUGGAUGGUUUAAAUAGCUUUGCCUAUAGGAAAUUGGUAUGUAAUUAAUUAUCUUUCCAUUUUACAAAUGAAGUAAUAGCAAAUGGGUGAUGAUGCUGAGAAAGCAACUGAACGUAAGGACAGCAUUAUGUGCUGUUCUAGUCCAUCUUAUAACAAAUUACAAGUUUCCUUAGGAGCCUUUUGAUAUCAUUUCUGUUUUCUAUUUGUUUUUUUUUCAAAUAUUUUUGUUUAAAAAAUAAUAAACUUGUUUUGUAGGGCAGUUUUUCUUUUUUCAAAAAAUGCACCUAGUCUCGAUCCUAUACUGGAAUUAGUGAAACUAAUUCUUAUCCAAAAUUGUAUUGUACAACCCUAUCCCUCACUCAUUCCUAACUCGAUUAUCAAUCACAUUGAUAUUGACCCAUAACUCUUGAACCUUGUUUCCACUGGACUCCAAGCAUCUUGGUCUUAACAUUAGAUGUCCUAGACUCAACAUCGUUCUGACUCAUGGUAGCCUAAACAAUCCGUACUUGAUCCCAACUCGACCCCCGGGUGUCUGAAUCCGAUCCCUCGACCUAACUUUCAAGCAUCCCAGAUCUGGUCCUAGCCCGACUCUUGGGGCCCUGGACUUGAUCCUAGUUCGACCGUCGGGUGCUCCAAACCGAGUUCCACCCGGACCCUAGGGUGCCCUAGAACUGGUCUUGGUCCAGCCAUCAACUUUUGGACCUAGUACCAGCCUGACCCCGAAACGUACUAGACUUGAUCCCAGCUUGAUCUCAAGUCCUAAAUCAUAGAUUAAUAGUCUAAACAUAAGUUUUGAAAACCACUUUUUUGAAAGGAAAACAAAAACAAACAAGUUUUCAUAUCCUUUUUUCAUAUAUAUAUAUAUAUAUAUAUAUAUUUUAAAUAGAAAAUGGAAACCGAAUCAAACCAUCUCUUUUUUGCUCAACUUGUUCUAUCAAUUGCACAAGAACAGUGUUAUGCACCUCUGUUUCUUAGACUCGUGAUUUUACCAGGGCAUACUUGUCUUGAAAAGACAUGUCCCAAGUACCGGUACAAGAUAUGGGUUGGGUAUGGCAAGUUUUUUUCAGACAUAGCAUUUUAUUUGAUUGGGAAACUUUCAUGUUUUUUAUUUGCUAUGAAAAUACAUAUGUUGACAAUGUUUUUGGGAUUCUUCUAAGUUUUAUCUAAAUUCCAAUAAUCACAAUCAAUUUUAUUUUAUUUUAUUUUAUUUUUUUUUUUUUUUUGUUGGUUUUGUCUUUGGGCUUUUUCUCUCAUAAUGUUAAUUUUGGACCUUGACAAUUAUGAAACUGAGAAUAGUUUAUAUACUAGGUUAUAUGGUGUUGUUAUUUAUAGGGCUGUCCACAUAAAUUCAACAAAAUAUGUAGUUAUAGUAAUUAAUUUAAGAUUAUUUGUCAUAUUUCAGAAGAAAAAAAAUAUGAAUAUUAUAUAUAGAAUAUAUGAGAACAAGUGUAGCUGAAAUUUGGAAAUUUUUAAACCGUGUCCCUAUAUCCUAAAUUCAGAAUUUGCAAGUCCGGCACUCAAAAAUAUUGCAUUUGGGGAAUUAAUUUCUUGUAACUUUAUGGUGUUUGCUUUUAGUAAUUUACUUUUUUUUCAUAAGUAUUGCUAUUUUUUAAAUACUUUCUCAUUGUUGUUGCAGGAGGCCCAAGUGGAUCUGGAAAAACAAGUUUGGCACACAAAAUGGCUAACAUUGUUGGGUGUGAAGUAGUUUCCCUUGAAAACUAUUUUAAAUCUGAACUUGUGAAGGAUUUUAAGUACGAUGACUUUAGCUCUCUUGAUCUGUCUUUGCUUUCAAAGGUAGGAUGACAUAAUAUUAUUCAUCUUAUGGAGAUCUUUUGUAGAUUAAUAAUACUAUUAUUUGUUCUGUCUGGUCUGGUAAGAUUACUUGGAAAUGUUAGUUGGAGCACAGAAUUUGAGUAAAAAUAUAAAUUUGUUUAGUCAAGCUUUUGUUUCAUACUUUGCGUGGCUAGUAGAGAUCUAUCUAUACACCAGCAUCCUUCUCCAUCAUCUAAGCAUGACAACUGAGAAUUCUUCAAAUUCUGUUAUAAUUUGGAUAUAUAAAUUUGUACCCCUGAUCUCACCUUGUUAUUUCAUAUUUCCUGACCUCCCUUAUCAUGUUAGCAUUUAUCAUUUAUGAGAACUCCCUUUUGGUUUGUAAGUAUUUCUGUUUUCUCAUACCACAAUCCUUUUCUUUUCCUCUAAAUGGUUUGACUUGGGGAAAAGAAGGGUACUUUUAAGGAAUGCCUUAUUGUUUAGUAACUGCUAUUUUUUCAUAGAAGACUAUUGGCAGACUCCUCAUUCUUCGGGGGUUUUUAUUUUCAAGAAUAUUCUCCAACUGCCCAAGCCUUAGCUGGUCCUUUGCAGUAUUUUACGUCCUUCAUUAGAGCAACUCGGCAUAUACUUGUUUGCACAUCCUUCCAUGCAUGUAACAAACUGUUUGUUCCUUCUUUAUUUGUUAAGUCUUUCUUCUUUUAAUGUGUAGGCUUCAACAGGCUUUAUAAUUUUCCUGCUUUGGUAUGCAACUUUCACUUGAAAUUUGGGAGAUUUUCUCUGAAAUGCAAUUAUUUCACCAAAUUCCCUUAGCUUGUCAAACAAUAUGUGAAUUUAGUACCUUUUCAUAUUCACUUGAGCAAUAUGAUGAAGAUACAUAUUCUUUGUUCUUCUGUAAUUAUGGCUUAUAGAUAGUGUGACAAAUUCUGCAUUUUGCUGGUAGAAAUUUCAGACAAUUGCUUCGAAGAGAAGUCAAAUUUAUUUCAUUUGGUUUGUCUUUCAAGUUCCUGGAAAAAUAUUUGCAUUUGCCAUACAAUUAUUAUUCUCAUAAUUCCUUUUCAGAAUAUUGGUGACAUAAGAAAUGGUAGAAGAACAAAAGUACCCAUGUUUGAUUUGGAGACUGGUGCUCGUAGUGGAUUCAAGGAACUUGAAGUUUCUGAAGACUGUGGUGUGGUUUGUUAUUACACUUACUUAUAUUGCUCCUGGAACUUGCUAUCAUGGGUUUAUUUUUUUAUUUUUCAGUGAUAUAUUACACGAUAACAUUUCUCUGGCUUUCUUUUUAUUAAACUUCUAAAAUAAAAAAGAAAAGAUAUCCUCCAAUAACAUUCUGACAUAAAGCCCAAAGUGUCAAUGGGGAGGCAAAGGUUGGCUAUGGUACAGUACACUACUUGCAUGCUUAAGUCUUAGAGUGUUGUUUCAAUUAGGAACCUUAUUCUGUGACUAAGGCGUCUUACUAUGAUAAGAUUAAGCUUAUGGGAAGCUAGAGAUGCACUAGAUUCUUUGUGAAGACAAUUUAUCCUUUCAGUGUGGCUUUGUUAUUCAUGUUAUUACGCAAAUAGGCAUUUUUACAAGGACAAUUUAUCUCUAGUGGAGCCUUGUAUAAAAUGUUAUGUGAAUUGCAGGUGCUAGGGUGCAAACCUUUUCGAAGUAAGAAAUAAUGAAAACUUUCCGUGGGUGCAAAGUGUCCUUUAAGUUCUUGAUAAUUGGAGGGCCUCAAAAAGUCUUAUCUCCUCGUAAAUAUUUUAUGUUCUAUCAUAAUGGAGAAUCACAGAUUCAGGUAUUUCUUCAUUGUCCUACAGCUUGGAGUAUGUGGCAAUGAUGGUUUGCAUUUGGUCUUGGGCCAUACUGAGGAGAGUAAACAAUUUUUGUUGGUUUCUUUGGUGAGUUUUGAAAGGGAGAAACAUUGCGAAGCUUUACAGAGAUGUGCUGUCAGUACAGUUUUUUGGUGCAUUUGGAUGGAUAAAAAUGCGAGUUUUAAUAAUCACUUCAUGUUUGGGCUGUUGUUGUGGGAUAAGAUAGUUUUCUUGGCUUCUUUGUGGUAUCAUCUAGCAGCUGCUUUUAGGCGUGCUUCUCUAGUGGAUAUUCAAAAGGAUUGGACUGCUUUAUUGUUUAGAUCAAGAUUGUUGUUCGUUUUCCCUUUCUGGGAGGAUGUAUUGUUCUCAAUUUUGUGCGGUAGAAUUCUUCUUUCUAAUAAUAGUUUCUACUUGUGCUCUGAAAAUUAGAAUAAUGAUAAUAAUGCUAAUAAUAACAAAUUAAGAAGAGGGGAUAGAGGGAAAGUGUGGGGGACGGUGCACAACGUUGGUCUCUCAAUCUGAAUGAGACGGGGAUAAGAUAAGAAAAAGAGGAGAGAGUAGGCAAAACAGAAGGAAGUGGAAAGAGGUGAAGUGUACAAAAGCUAUUUCAACCAGUUUAAAAAUUUGCUAAUAACUUGCAAAUUAUGUCUUACAUCAUCAAGUCAUGUAUGGAGACUUCACAACGUGAGCCUUCUAAAAAUAUUACCCGUGAUUAAAUCUCUUCCCUCAAAAUGCUAAAGCUUGUCUCAAGACAAGGCAUAUUUAUGACAAACAAGUGGUGAACCUUGCAGAAUUUGAACUUGCACUGCUUCUCAUUGACCUAACUGAACUCUAAACGCUGGGUCUUCAGUUGUUGUUCCUGCCCCAUUAAGGAUAUUUAAGUUUGGUGCUAUAUGCUUGUAUUCAAUGCUACAUUUGUUUAGGAGUAUUUUAGAUAAAUGCAUAGUGGAGUUAAGAAUUUAGUGGAAAUGGAACUUGAAGAUGUUAGGAAGGGUCAAACAAACUUUUGACAAAAUUAUUACUUUUCAGCUUUACAUUAUACGCAGGCUGUUUGCACUGUAUGGUAGAAUUGGUCCACUGGCUAUAAGUUUGAUUCAUGUUCAUGCAGGCUAAUUAGAGAAAAAAUGUUCAUGCAAUGCAUCUUUACAGUUUUAUAUGAUCAUAGCAAUUGAUAUUUCCACUUAUGAAAUCCUUUGCCCGUAGUUUUGAUUUAAGUUAAUGUUAUGCUAGUGGACUUCUUUUUAAAUCAUUCUUGCUUUUGCAGAUCAUUUUUGAAGGGGUGUAUGCUCUGCAUCCUGAAAUCCGAAUAUCACUUGACUUGUGGGUUGCUGUUGUAAGAUGACUUUGCAUUCCCUCUUUUAAGCUUUUAUUUUCAGAGAAACCGUGUGUGUGUGUGGGUGUUCUGAUUUCUAAAGAAGUUUUCAAUUGAUGAUGAGUUAGUUUAGUUGUGAUGUAACUUCAUUGUUUUGUGAACACAGGUUGGUGGUGUUCAUUCACAUCUUAUUUCUCAAGUUCAAAGGGAUAAAAGCAGAGGGGGGUGUUUUAUGUCCCAAAAUGAGAUCAUGAUGACAGUGUUUCCAAUUUUCCAGCAGCAUAUUGAGCCACAUCUUGUUCAUGCACAUGUUAGUAGACCCCAAUUGUCUGAUCAUUUUAUUGUUCUUUAAGUUUUAGUAUGAAAAGUAUUUCAAUGUUUGCCAUGUUCUAAAUGUUGGCCAUGCAAUAGUUUUAUCUUCCCCCAAGCAGAGACACAUGUACAUAUAACUAACACAAGCCUUCUUGUAUUGAGACGCCUCUUGGAAAAUUUUAGAAAUAUCUAUAACAUUUAGUAGAAAAGGUAAGGUCCCUAGGAUGGCCAAGAGCCAAGAUUAAGGUCACUUUGGUUGUCUCAUAAUAAAUGAAAGCCAUUAGUCAUGUAUUGUUUAAUCAACCGAAGAUCGAAUUUGUCAUCGUCUUUAUAUCAAAAUGGAUCGGAUAGAAUCUCUGAAAUGCCUUUGUUUCAGAUCUUUCUGGAGAUGACUACCAUUCUUGACUUUUCACAUUUGUGCUGGUGUAAUUUCACACUAAACCAUCUACAUCUUUUAUGUUGGAAACACACAAACUGUUGCUAUUAAUGUUAUGUAUGCAUUACUGCUCUCUUCAAAAUACUGAUGUUCUGUUACAGUGCAUUCCUGAGGAUUAUAUUUGCAAGUUUAACCUUGAGGGUUUUGAGUAUUCUUAUAUUGUUUCAGCUCAAAAUUCGGAAUGACUUUGACCCUGUUAUUUCCCCUGAGAGUUCUUCGUUUGUCUUGAAGAGUAAUAAGCAGGCAAGUGGGCUAUGAUGAUUCUGUUGAAGAUUUAUGUAUGGUGGUUUGCAUCUGACAUACUUUUUUGUUUGUGAUGUUUAACAGGUGGCUUAUCAAGAUAUUUUGAAAAUCCUAGAUCCUGUCAAGUUGUGCAGUUCUGUUCAGAAUUUCAUUGAUAUAUAUUUAAGGCUCCCUGGACUUCCUACAAAUGGACAGUUGGCAGAUGGUGAUUGCAUACGAGUCAGAAUCUGUGACGGUAGAUUUGCAUUGUUGAUACGGGAGGUUUGUAUAUAAUGCAUUAGUUAUAUGGUAUUUUUCCUUGUCAAUUAUAAUGUAUUUUCUGUUUUCGAUAUUCUAGUGAAUGCUUGACUUUUAUUUUAUAUGUACUCAACAUUAGCCUUUAAGAGAAGGGAAUUUUAUAAUUCAACCAAAAGUGGAUUUUGAUAUCAGCAUCAGCACAGUUGCUGGACUUCUUAACCUCGGGUAAGACCAUACAUGAUUUUGCUUUUCUUUUUAUCUUCACAUAAUCAUUCCCAGUUAAGACAAAAAAUAAAUGGUAUAGUAUGUGUUUAUAUAUACCUUGUUGAGUCCUGUUGUCUUUGUAUUUGGAGAGUCGACAUGCUCAAAACCUUUCACCAAGUAAAUACUCUGGUCCAUCCUUGUGCAUUUGUAUCAUAGCAUGUGAGCAAUUCUUUCAUCGUCUGGAUAUCAGGGAAGAGCAGUUUGUUUCUUUUAAUCAGUUAUAUAAACUGAACUGCUGGAAACAAACCCAAACCUAUUGUCUUAGCAGUUUAGGAUGUCAUUAUUUUGGAAACUACAAAGUUAUCAUUUAGUUUUGUUACUUUUGUUUUCUACUUCGAUUAAGCAUUAUACUGUUCUUCUUUGUAAUGCUUUAUAGCUGAAGAACUGGUGGAUUCUUGUACAAGUCAAUGAAAUGUUUUCUGUUAUCAUGUGAUGUCAGGUAUCAAGCAGUAGCUUACAUUGAAGCAUCUGCAUAUAUCUACCAAGAUGGAAAGGUAUAAUAUCCCUGGAUUUUUUUUUCUUCAUUAUACUUAUAAGCUCCUGUAAUUUAAACAUCCAAGCUUCAAAAUUGUGCAAGUCCUCACUUCUGUUUUUCUUCUUAAUUAAAUUUGUCAAAAAUAAUUUCUUUGAGUUUUGGUUAUUUUGAACUUGUUUUAAAGGAAAUUUCAUAUGAAAUCCAAACCAUAGAUACUGAUAAACUAAAUUAACAACAACAGUUUUGUAUUUCAGUGCCUGAUAAUUAGUUUCAUAAUGUUAUGUACUAAUGCUUGAUGAUGCCAGGUUUUCAUGUUACUUGUGUUCUGUUUCUCAUACACAAGGUGUGUCAUAGACGAGGCUUUCUGAAUGGGUUUCAUUUUAUUCUGAUGUGUAGAUUCUCAUCGAGGUUGAUCAUCUGCAAGACACCCCUAGUCCUUACAUACAGAUCAAGGGGGUUAAUAAGGAAGCUGUGGCGGCUGCUGGUUCGACACUUAAACUGGAUGGUUCAUACACAACUAAGGUUUUGCCUCGAGUUCUGCUUGUAUAGUUUUACCUUUAGCACUGGGCUACUCUGGCCUCUCAUUGUGAGAGCUGGCUCUUUUGUUGUACUUUCAGAGUUACCUGCAGAUCAUUUUGGAAAGAUUACCUGCAAUGGAAAGAAGUUACAGUGGAAUUCAUGCUCAACAAGCUGCAAGGUUGCAGGAACUUGUGGAAUUUAUACAAUCUCAGGUAUUUACUAUGAUUGAAUGGGAUAGCAGCCAUCUGAUAGUGAAAUUUGAUUUUAGCUGAGGGAAAAUUAGUGUAAGACCAGUCUCGUCCAAUUUUAUAUGUUGAAAUAGGUAGCAUAUAUAGAGAGAGGGCCAGGACAUCUUUCCACUUAACAAACUGCAUAAAUGAGAGAAAACCUUAUUCCACUUCCAUUGAUCAUCAUUUUCUGUUGAGUCUAAAAGAGCUAACCAUUAUUUGAUAAAAUAACUUCUAAUAUAUUUUCAAGGUUGAGCGGCUGAUGAUUUUACUGUUUUUAUAUUACUGUGGCCAAACUGACAGGGAAGCAGCUCAGCUUCAGAAUCCUCUCCGAGCAGGGAGGCUGCUCCUUUGGAAGGAAUAAUUGAGGAUAUGCAGUUUAGAAUCAAAAGGCUGGAAAGAUGGCAUACUAUCAACACGGUACUUGUAAUUCCUUUAGUAAUCUGUGUCUGUUUCAAUUUGGAUUUUACUCAUGUUUACACGGUUUUUGGAACUCUAAAUGCUUGCUUUUCCAAUGAAUUUGAUUUUUGAAAAUGACAUUCGUGAACCAUGUUAGCAUCUCCAAAUCUGCUACCAUUUGUUGCAACAAUGGGAUCAAACAUUUGAGCUGGACGGUCCCUAUUUUGUUUGAUCAAAAGCAACCUUUUUCUUCUUUUUUUGUAUUUUUCUUUUUUGAGAGAAAAAUGAACCUAAUAUUGUUCCAGGGGUUUAGCAUCUUUGGAAUUGAAACUGGAUGGUCCUUGUGUCAUUUGGUCAGAAAGAAAUGUAAUACUGUUCCAACUGUUCAGUAUUCCUGUUCCCCUUGAUAAGCCGCUAAUGAAUUUGCACUCAAUGUGCAGGUGCUUUGGACUUUUCUGAUGUCUGCCCUUGUUGGUUAUUCGCUUUACCAAAGGAAACACCAAUGACACUUCUAGACGUGUGCGAGUUCUUAAAGGUAUCAAAGUCUCAUCGCAUUGAAGUAAUUGUCGGUAAUGUUGGGCUAACAGAAACUUCUAACAACAGUUGCAUGUUUCUCCGGAGUCCCGGAUAUUUAACCUCCACGUCGGAGCUUAUUGCUUUCUUUUCAACAAACUUGGAGCCUGUCGCUCAAUUGCUCCAUUUGUAAAUUGCUCCAUUUGUAAAUACUUAAAUUAUGUGGAAAUGAGAAUGACCAAUUGACAUUCGAGCGUCCUCAUUGUAAUUCAGCUACCGUUCAAUCUGUCCUUUUUCUUUUUUUUUUAGGUUCACAACUCCCGUAUUAGACUUUAGGUUGCGACUCGAUUUAAACAAUUACACCAUCCUUCCCAGCCCCGAUAUGUUUUGAAACUUGAUCCUUCUGUUAUAGGACAGCUGAUGAAUAGAAGAUGGAACGCAUUGGUUGGCAAUAGCUCUGUUUAUCCAUGUCAUGUUACCCAUCUGGUUCCUGCCAUCAUUCUUAAUUAUGUGCUGCCAUGCCAUUUCUUUUAUGUUUGACCCGAUAAUAUCAAUUAUUUGAUUUAAGAAUCACGCGCUAUGCAUAAAUGAUAUGAAAAUCGACAAAAACUAAAUAUAAGCUCGAACCUGAGACCACAGCUACCACCUAGAUGGUUUUAAUUAUGUGCUGCCAUGCCAUUUCUUUUAUGUUUGACCCGAUAAUAUCAAUUAUUUGAUUUAAGAAUCAUGCGCUAUGCAUAAAUGAUAUGAAAAUCGACAAAAACUAAAUAUAAACAUUUUUUCAAUCAAAACUAAGUCUAAAUUGGAAAUAUUAGAACAAAAUUGAAUAUGGAUAUUAUAAUAAUUUUUUUAACUUCAUUUUUUUUUGUCUCCCAAGUUUAAUUUAAUAACGUGUACAUCAGAUGGGUAAAGGACUAGUUUCUCUCUAAAACACGUUCUUUUUGAAACAGGAAGAUUGAAAACUCUCCCACUUCCAUGUAGUUUGAGAUUUUAAGCAAGAUUAGGUGAAUAGCGGUGGCUGAAAUAAACAAAAAUCACACAAGACAAGAAUGAUAUUGAUUUCUUUGACAAACAAACCCAGUCCAAUAACAGAAAAAUACCACGUGAAAGUCAUACGGAUCACAAUCUUAUCUCAUGGAUGGUGGCUUUCUUUUUCUUUCUUUUUUAAUUGGCGUGAAUAACUUGUUUUUUGAUGAGAUUGGAUUAGUGUGUGAAAGUCAGUCCGAACAAUGAACGAUCUGAUUCAACAAUAGAGUGAGUAUAAAGAUUUUAUAAUAUAUACACUCAAUUUAUCCUAAAAUUAGCUUUUGUUUAUUUCAGCCGCUAUUCACCUAAAAUUCGAUCCAGAUCAAAUUAUGAAUCACGAAUUAAGAAGUCAAUUUUUUUAAAAAAUAAAAAUUAAGUGCAACCAUGCAAGUGGCAGUUAGAUUGAUAAUAAAUUGCAAUCAUUAGUUUUCUUGAGACUUUGAAUUGAAAAAUAUAAAAGAAUAAGCUGCCAGUUGCAAAGGAAGGUAAUAUAUAUAUGCCAAGUCUCGACCCAGAUGCACGGAACUUUGCCCAUAGAGAAAUCCUAAGCGCACAAACAACAUGCAACAACGGUCAACACCACGUGCCUUCCUAUGGUGCAACAAAGAACCUCACCAACUGCCGCUGAUCGCUGCAACUCCACCAGGUCAUCGCCCGAUCCCGAUCCACGUGAUGGCGGAAACGUCUACAUCCCUCCAUCUGUUGAUCUAAUAAUAGCGACAGAUAAAAUAUUCCUACAACCAAGUCUGAAACACAUUCACGGUUCAAACCUUCAUGUUUUGCUCUGUCAGCAUGGCCUGAUAGUGGGAUUUUAAUGAAAGAUCCACAGUAAUUAUUAACACGAGAUUAUCUUAGAAAAUAUGAAGAUAUAUCACCAACAACAAUUUGUUAUAAGAAAAAUAACAGCGACAUAAUAAUUCGGUUAGUGAAAACACUGCAAGAUUUGGGGAACAAUCACCACGAUAAAAGCCAACCACAAGCAACAAGUAAUUUUAGGGCCACAGUUCAAGUGGCAUUAUUAUAAGUAAAAAGAUUACAUUCUCAAAACCAAAACCAGGUUGACAUUAUUGUACCGUGAUAGCCUCUGGCCUCUCAUUUACAGCUUCUAUUCCAUAAAUAAGGGUGCAAUUUACAUUAAUUUAGUGCUAACAACAUCUAGCCAAGAAACGGAAGAACUCCUUCAUUCUUCAAGAAGUAUACAACAAUUGCCAUUAUAAUGAUGAAUAUAAUGAUCCGCAAGCUUGAUCCUCCUCCAGCUAAACAAGAAACAAAAGAAAGUUCCUUGAUAAGAAAUGAGAGAACUAGUAUGCCUUUUGUUGUGAAAAUAGUAGAGCAAUAAGUCAAGAAAAAGGGAAAUACCGGAAAUGGUUUCCAGUCAAUACAACCUUUUUUUAAACCAACAAAUUUCUCUAUGCAUAAUCCAUCCCACUUCACAUACCACCGAAGGUCAAUUGAAUGCCUGACUUUUCAAAAACCUUAGGAGCAUUAUCUGCUUCUGUUUUGAAUGUAGUUCCUUGUCUUUCCAUGUCCAACAUUCUAGUUUUCUCUAAACAAUCCUUGAUAGUAAAAUACUCCAGGCAUUGGGUUAAUUCUUGGUGAAUUACCACUAACUUGUAACCAUAAAUAAUGUGAAGAGUAAGUUUUGACACGAUGUACUAGCACAUAAAAGUCAUCACAGAAAAGUCCCCCAAUAUUUGGCAGCAUGCAAUUUACUUUCUGAGUUCACAGUCCACUCCUACCAAAUACUUAGUUCACCAUAUUAUUUGGGCAGUCAUAUUGUGAUUGCCCUAAAUCAAAGUCAUGGAGAGAUUUUAGUCUCUGACUAGUUACCAGGUCCAUAAGGCAGCCAUUGCAGAGCCACCAAUGACAGGAAGAAAAAUCUGAAUAUCAAUGUACAUACCACAUUUCUUGUCCUCAACUAGUGUCACCCUUGCACUUGAGUCCAUAGAUGCAGAGACCAAAGCCCUGUAUUCCAAAUAACACAUGCUCAACUGCCAAUUGUCAUCCCUAGAUGAAAAUGACCCAAAUAAAAUGUUGAUCUAAGUGUACAUGGAGACACAAUGGUGUUUUCUAACCUUGAAUCAUGAGAGAAUGUCAAUGCUGUUACUAUGCCAAGAUGUGCUUUCCUAAUCAUUGUUUGAAUACACAUAUUGGUUGAAUUUAUAAGCAUCACAUCUCCUUGAGCCGUGCCUCUGUCAAUCAAACACAGGAGAUUAGAAUAUAUUUUAGCAUUAAGUGCUUGCUACUGAGCUCAAGGACCUCAAAUAAACAGUUGAGAUUCUGUACAUUGCAAGAAACUUUCCAUCAGGUGAGAUGUUAAAGGAAGAAACUGGUUCACGGAAUACAUGCUUUGAGCUCACUCUCUUCCAUGAGCUUGCGUUCCAUGUCACGAUACUUGAACCUUUGUCUAUGUAAAACAAUAUUUAUGAUGAUUAACAUGGAACAAAAAUAUCAAAGGGAGCACAAAAUACUUGGCUUUCAUAAUAUUCACCUGUAAUUGCCGCAACAUACAGAACCUGAGUCUGAUCACUAAUUUGAGAAAAUCUGCAGGAGGCAAAAAUUUCAUCCUGGAAGUACAACACAAUAAAUCCAAUUAGCUCAACACUCAUUUGAUAGAAACAUAAUAUAUAUUAGAAGUGCCAGCCAUGAAUUGCAAGACCAUAAGUAACCUAGAUUAAUUGAGUUACGGGUUCCCUGAAAUCUACUUUCUAUUAAUUUGACCGAUAUGAUUUUGUUGGUCCCCAAAUGAAUUCAAUAACAACAAUAAAUAUCAGCACAAAGGUAUUAACCUCUUUGACAUUAAGUGAGGGUCAAAGCAGUUUGCUAGUAGAAAAGGAAUUCAGUCAAGAACUAAUCAUUGUUUACAACUUACGUUUUCCUUUGAUAAAGAGGCAACAGCCAUUGAUGAAGUUACAUCCCAGACUCUACCAGGGCCACGACCUCCCAAUGAAACGAGAAAUUUUCCAUCAGGGCUGCAACGCAAUUAAGCUAAUCAAAAUAAAUAAAUUCUUCAUGCUAACAUCUCUACUUCAGAAAUAGAACAUCUAAUUUUUCCUAAUAUUACUGCCAACCUGAAACACAGGUCCUUCAGGGACGCAUGGGCUUGAGCCUCGUUGAAAAUAAUUUCCAUGCUAGGCCACUUGAAAACCCUUAAAUUGCCAUCCUGUACCACACCAAAAUCAAAGCAUCAUAUAGCAUAUUAUCUUUAAAAAAAGGAUCCCUGCUCUCUUCAAUAUCAUUAUAACUAAAAAUAAAGGCCUGGUUAUGGAAAUUUCAAUACUUCGAUUGGUAGGUAAAUGGCCAAGAGGCAGGUCCUACAAUCUGACAUUAAAAGAUAGAGUGGAGGAACAUAACUUAAUCAUCACAAACUAUAUCUACAAACCGUUCAUCUAAUAAUAAAAUAGUUAGAAGCUGGAAUGCAACCAUCAGAAAACAGUGAAAGAUAAGGAAGAGAAAAAUUUGACCCAGAAACUUGCAUCUUUCAUGCAACUUUCAUUUGGUCAUAUAAACAUGCAGUCAGGUGUUCUGUAUGGGAGCCACUUAAAAUGUGUUCUGUCCACCAGCCCAGGACUGUAGCAUCUCCGCUAUAAAAUGUACUUUUUCCUUGUCCUUCUAACUUAAGAAUUAUAUAACUUGUUUCGCACCCCUGUUUUCAUCCUUCCCUCUCUUUUACUGAUGGAAUAGACAGACACCAUAGAAACAAGGGGGGAAAUCAUGGAUGCCCUCUAGUUCUAAUCUUGAAGGGAAGCCAAAAACCCAGUUAUUAGUCCACUGCGUGCCAUAACCUUUAUGUUAGACAGUAGGUGUUGAUGCUGCAUUCCUCUUCAGCCAAUUUGGUUCAGAAAAUCCCUACCAGGCCUUUUAUCAGUCUUAUAUAGAUUAUCAAUGCCUACAGACAGUUUUAUCUUUUUAUAAAAACAAGGAAGAAAAGAGUUAUUAGCAGAUUCUCAAGUUGCUGGACUGGGUUGGAGAUAAACGAGUUUGAUUCUUUUAAUCCUUUCCUUUCUACAUGCAGAAUCCAAACAGGAAAAGGAAAACAAAAACAAAACAAGGCAAUAUCUUUUAAGCAUGUUUCCUUGUGUUUAGAAUGCUUUUUUGCUUAAUGUCAUGCAGCGAUUACAAUUAAAUUAACAGAAGGGAAUGCAAAGAAUCUCUCUACCUCUCCACCAACAGCAAGCACAGAGCUGUCACUGUUAAAGACCAAUGCUAAUUGCUGUCCAACAUCUUCCAAUUGUGUCAAUACUUUUUCAGACGAUUUAAGGCCCAAUUUAUGGUCUUCAUUGUCCUCGACUUCAUCCCACUCAAAAAAUCUGCGCAAGGAAGACGUAAUAGCAAAUUGAUUAUCCUUUUUUUGGUACCAGUAAGGAUGGAAAAAUUCUUAAGAGUUAGGCACAAUGGCUGUGAUGUGUAUUGAAAAAAUCAGAGAGUAAAAUAAACACAAACAGCAGCUGCACUGCAUUCAAAACAAAUAAUUAAUGAAAUUUUUGAAAUGCUCUUGACUGGAUAAGGAUUGCCUGGUAUGCAGUAUAUAUAACCUCUAAAAAUCAUUCAAAGCAAUUGGAGAAGAUUCUUCUUGUAAACUAACUUGUUUUAUCACCUCCACAAACAUAAAAGAUAGCUAGCAGCAUACUAAUUCUUAUGCUAGUACAAAAACACUACCCUCUCUAAGCAUUUUAAAACACAGCAAUUUAAUCUAGCCAUAACACAACCCACAAGAAAAUUAUAGCUGCUAAACCAACUCCAGCCAAUACAUAAUGUAACAUAAUGUAACAGUAAAUGAUUGAUAAUCUCAUCAACUGCUUUAACAAACCCCAAGUAACCUCCAAACUUAUCCACCUUGAGCUCAAGGAUUUUGGUCUUAAGAAGUGAUUACCACGAAAAUAAUUACUGCCAGAUCAAGAAAGAAUUCCUCCUUUCUACAACCCACAUCAAAUCCAACAACACAAGAGAAAUCAUUUCUAACUUUUUCUGUAACUUUCCAAGCACCUAUUCCAUUCAGACCCUUUGCUUUAUUAGACAUCCACUCUCUUUGAUCCACACAUCAUAUUGAAUGCUUUCUGUGAAAUGAACUUUCACGCUGAUAUACCACGAAGAGCUUUCUUAAAAAAAACAAGCAAAUUAAACCCCAAACCAACCACUUCUAAAAGGUUUUUGUCUUAACCCAUUUCUGUGGGUGAACAGCCUUGGAUUUUUCCCAUAUCAAACUCUUUAUGACCUCAAAUCAACAAGCAAAGAACAGGGCAAGGGAAGCUGUGACACUAAGUAUAACUAUAAGAAGGGUUGCUUUCAAGCAGUCAUCAGUUGGCAAAUCCACGUCCACAUAAGAACUAUAGGUUAUGCGGCAUUUGAAAGUAGAUAACAUGUUCUGCACCUUUAGAUGCAUCUUUCAAAAGAAAUUGUGUAAAGCACCAAUGCUUCUAGCUCUCGUCAUCUUUCAUGUAAAUCCAACCUCUAUACAAUCACUCUUCAAAUUACAUUGACUCUUCUUCAUUCCCUAAUUACACCAACUCACCUGUGCUAGAGUAAAUUUAUGUUUGCCUAGUGCCAUCUGUGCCACUUUCCAUAGCAUCCCCAUUACAGGUCCUAACUCAAUAUUCUCAUUUCUCAUUCCAUCAGGAAUCAUAGACAAAGGAUUCGGAGCCAAAGUGGGAGGGAUGAAGGAUACUAAUGGUGGUGUAUGAAAAUCUCUUGAAACCUAGCACUUAAUGCAGCCUUUCAGAAAAUCAGUAGCGUCACUGGUAGAUUGCCAUUUAUAAAAAUAAAAUAAAAAUGAAAGCAAUAAGCUCAAAAGCCUUAAACUAGAACAAAAAUAAAAGGAAAGUACUAAAUUGGCAACCUUAUAACUAAAUAUUUUCUUUUCAACAGCAAAAACAUAACUAAAUAUUUUCUUUUCGACAGCUAAAGCAGAAAUUAAAAACAAAAAGAAAGUGAGUACCGGCAACUAUUCGGCAAUGCACAAAUAAGUCCGUCUCCACCGGGGUGAACCACCAUUCUAUAGGGCAAAUCAGAACCAAGAUUAAGCUUAGCUACCUGAAACACAGCACUGAAAUAAAUACAUUUACAAUGAAAUUACCAAAUCCAAUUUCGAUCACCUAUCGAUAAUUGAAAAGAUAAUUAAACAUGAUAAACAGAUGCGAAUUUUUAUCAACGUACGGGCUGAGGAGAGAGAGAAUUGGAGGAGAAAUCGAAACGGGAGAGAAGGACAGCGUUGGGGAUGCCGCUGCGGCCUUCACCGCCACCACCGGCCAAAAUGACAUAGUAUUCAUAGGAAGAAGCAGAGGCGUGGGUGAUCUCCUCCCUGUCCUUGUCCUGUUCAUGUUGUUUAGAGGAAUCGUGGUCCUCGUGACGGAAUUGAAGCGGAAGCCAAGCAGCUGAAUAUAGAGGGACGCCGUAUUUUUGCAGGGCUGGAGGAUCUGUCCCUUUCUUCUUUCCCAUUGGAAUUCGAUAGAAGGAAUUUCUUCACAGUGUGUCGUUAACGAUGGUUGUGAAUCAGAUCCAGCUGUUAGGAGUGAUCUAAAUAAAAUAAAAAGUAAGCAAGAUUAUUAAGUAUAAAAUAAAAGGCUAUCAUGGAAUUUGUAAAAAAACAUUGUUUUUUUAAUUUUUUUUUUGCGGUAAUUUAUUUUUAAUUCGAGAUUAAUUGAUUUUAAUUUUUUUAUGAAAGUAUAAAAUUAAAAGAAGAGAAACUAAAAUGAUAAAAAGGCUGUAGCAUCCCAUAAGUUUUAUAGAAGAUAUAUUUUGGUCUUUAAAUUUAAAAAAUAAUACAAAUUAUAUAAUUUUAGUAUAUCAAUAUUUUUAAUUUAAUUUUAAUAUAAAAAUUUAUUUUUAUUACUUUUUUAGUUCUUAGUUGAGAGAGAAAAAAGAAAGGUUACUAAAUUUCUGCAAUAGAAAAGAAAUAAGUCGUUGAUAUCGAUUUAGGCCACCAAAAUGAACAAUAUUAUGUCAAAUGGUUCCGUUUGAUGAGGGGAGUUCAUAUUAGGUGUUUUUUUUACCUUUAAAGUUCAUGAAAAAACAGAUUUAAGCGCGGGUUGGUUUUUUAUUUCGGGUUGGUUUUGGUUUUUGGGAUAUUUUUGGGUUUUUUGAGGUCAUAUAUAGAUUUAUUACGGUUACUACUAUAUUUUUAUAAGUGUUUUGGGUUAAAAUGGAUUGAAAAUAAGUUUUUUGGUAAAAACAUUUAAGUCUUGAUUUUCCGGCCACCACAGUGGCUGGAAUUUGAAUAAAUCAGACGAUGUAUUAUCUGUUUUUUUUCCAAAAAAACCCAAUUACAUACAAAGAAUAGUACAGUCGCGCGGGCCAUAACAAAAUGAACCAAGCAGGCUAGCUUAGCCUUUGCUUCUUCUUUUUUUCCUAAUUUUUUUUAAAUUAAUGGUUUUUUCUCUAUUUUUUUUAAAUUUAUAUUUAGAUAAGUACCACUUAUCUUUUUAAUUCUGUUUAGAGAGCCUCUUUUAAAUAACGAUUAUUUUUUUAGUUAUGUAUUUAAAUUCAAAUAGUUUUUUCUGAUUUAUCUAUAAUUUUUUUUAAUCUUUUGUAUGGAUGGACUUUAUUUUUUAAAAUAAAAAAAAUUAUUUUCAAAUAAUAUUUCUAACAUGUGCAUCCUUGCAUGAUAUGCUUUCCUCCCUUUUUAUUUUAUUCAAUCAAAUUAAAUUGCGUUUCUAUUACUAAUAUCGUUUGCUUAAAUAAAAAAAAUUAUUUUAAUAAAAAAAUUUAGCAAAUACAAUAGGAUAAAUUUCUUGUUUUUCAAGAUUAAAUAUCUUGAUCUACACCUCUCUCUUGAUUUUUCAAGCUUUAUUUUUAGGUAUCAUUAAUAAUUUUUUUUUUAUUAUUUGCAUACAUAGUUCUCAAUUUAUUUAAUUACAUGUAUGCAUCAAUUUUUUUAUUUAAACUUAAAAUUUUUAAAUUAGAGAAAUGUGUUGAAAAAACCCGCAUAUAUAAUUUUUUUAUAGAAAAUAAAAAUAUCUGACCCACCUUAUUUUUGUAAAAAAAUAAUUUUUUUAAAAUUAAUGAUUUAUUUUUAUUUUUAUAUCGUUUUGAUAUAUUGAUAUUAAAAAUAAUUUUUAAAAAAAAUAUUAUUUUAAUAUAUUUACGAGAGAGAAAAACAAAAUAUAUAUAUAUGUAUAUAUUUCGGUGCAGUGCAUUGGAAAGUCUCUAUAUUUCUUCAUAUUACCAUCAUCCUACCAAUAGGAGUUAAUCCCUUAACGUGUCUCUCUUUUCUUUUCUUUUCUUUUUUUCCAAUGCACCGCACCAAUUAGGUGUAGAUGAUGGGAAUUUUUUCUUUAAAAAUAAAUUAUUUUAGCUGUUGUUGGUUGCUAAGCAAAUGGUCGAGCACCUGUGGAUACAACAAACUUUGUUAAAAGAAAUCCACGUUUUAAUGCCUGAUAGGAUCUCGAAGAAUUAAUCCUGUAUAAUAGCCUGGGUACCUUGGAGAAACAAUGGCGUAUUGUAUGUAUGGUCUCUAUAUAUGCUAUAAAAUAAGCAACUAGCAUACUACUUUGAAAAAAGAAGAAAGACAUGUUCUGUCAGAAAAAGAAGAACAGGGAGAAAUUUGGGGGUGAGCACGACUUUAAAGUCACCUCACUGUUGGAAAAUAAGAAGACAGUAACGUUGAGAAGAUAGCAUUGUUAAGAUUGAUAUUAGAGGGGGAUGGGAAUUGUCCUAUAAUAGAACCCUUUUUUAUGAAUUUUUUGGAACCAAUUCUUCCGUAGAAUUCAAUUGAAAGCAUGUACUGAGCUGUAUUCCUUUUUCCAGCCUCAUUAUGAUACAUGUGCUGGUUUGCCUAGUUUCUGGCAAACUCCCGCUUGAUCAAGCUGAUGCAUGAAUGCAGUGUCAAAUGUUUUCAAAACUUGAGUUCCAGAUAAUGCCUGCAGGCUAUGGAUGCUUGAACUUUUGAAGCAUCACUACAGUGUAAGACACAUUAGCAUAUAAGAUGCCUAAGAAAUACUAUAUCAAGCAUAUGCAAUCACAUUAAAGCUGCUCAACAUAAAAUGCUUAUCUUUGCACUACUGAUACAAUUGAUGUUUUUCUUUGUCGAAUAAGAGAUUAAUAGUUACAAUUCUCUCAUUAUCACACAUUGCUCGAUGAUUGACCCUUCAUUGUUGAUGAGAGUGCAGCCACAGCUUCUCCAACUGUCAAAUAAAGGGUGUCAGGCCCCAUGAUAUCACGGGCAUCAUCGGCCCUUAGCAAUUUUUCCAACACUUCCCCCACGGGAUUCACCAACACAAGCUGCAAUGUCAAUCAUAAAACAAAGUAUUAUCCGCAGGAGCAACUAAAAGGCAAGACAAUUGAAAAGGAACAGGCAAUUUAGAUGCCAUGCACUUGCCUCGACUCCCUUAUUCUCCACUGCUUUCUUUAAAUCCUUAAAGAGUGAGACUCCGCUUGUGUCGAUGGCGCUGACAGCUGAAACAAGUACAGAGAGUAUUUCUAUUAUGAUUUUUUACAUGGUGGAUAAUCUGCCAUGCUUCAUUGCAAUUAUGAUUUAAUGAGUUAAUGUAGUCAAUCAGAGCAGGAAAUGGUUUAAUGUCAACUCCACCAAUAUAAGCUCUAAAAAAAUCAGCUACCCUAAUCUCAGAUGCGCAAGUUGUAACUUAUAAUUAUCUAUAAAGCUUAUAGUUGGAAAGAAGAACAAGGAAGAAACCAAGAUUUUCUGUUUCUAGACUGUUUCUAGAUAACUUGUUAAUUUCUGCAAAAUGGUAGCAGUGAACUUACCUGACAGGUCUAGGAUCAGAAAACGAAUGCUUGACUGUUUCUUUAUGUCUUCUUCGGUUUCAUAUUCAUUUAUCCAUCUCACAAUCCUAUUACAUAUUUAAAGGAAAGUUACCCUCAAAAAAAGAAAAAAUAAUUAAAGGAGAAUUAUUAGAGUCGUGAUGGGAAGUGCAAGUACGCUUUAUGAGCUACUGAAUGCACAAACAAACCUUUCUUUGAGGUAGGUUGUAUUAGCAAAGUUGAUUGGAGCUUCAAUGCUUAAAAUGAGGAAACCAGGGAUCCUCGUAGCAUCCUUGUAGUGAUGAAGAUUACGGAAUAUAUCCGUCCCAGGUAUGUUUCCCAAAAUCAGAGUCUUUGGCCUUGUAACUUGAAGAAGGAUCUUGAAAAUUGAUAUUGCUACCUGUUCAUCAACAGCAUCAUGGUUGUUUUGUAUCAUGAAUAAACAUGGAAGGAACGAAGGCUUUCGCUUAAUGCAUACAAACGGCUUAAAAGUUAAAUCCUGAUUAACAAGUCAUUCCUGCUUACCUUUUCAAGCCUAUACAGGUUUAGUUCCAGUAACAUUAUCUAAAAGCUGAAAACUCACCGCAAUGGCAAGACCGUCCUGUACAGAGAUAAAAAUAACACCAAAGAAUGCGCACAGCAUCACUACAAAAUCAAAUUUGUCGAUCUUCCAUAUCUGGCAGGCAGCUGGGAAGUCUAUGAGGCCAAUUACUGCUGUUACUAUGAUGGCACCCAACACAACAUUUGGUGUGUAUUGGAAUAGAGGCAUUAGGAAGAGGAGUGUCACCAUAACUGUCACUGACAUUACAACGUUAGAAACUGCUGUUUUGGCUCCUGCGUUGUGAUUGACGGCGGACCGAGAGAAAGCGCCUGAAAUUCAAAGUUUUGUUAAGAAUACUAUAUAUGCGUGUCUUAUAUAUGUUUCAGGCACUUAACAGCAUGGCAGAAAAGAAAGCCUAAUACAGUAAAUGUUAGGACCUGUUGUAACAUAACAGGAAGUGGCGGAGCCAAUUACAUUCAUUAAUCCAAUUGCCAUCAUUUCCUUGUUACCGUCAACCUGGUAGUUUUUUAAAGCAGCAAAAGUCCUUCCCACUGCUAUGCCUUCCUGUUUGAAAUAAAGUUGAGCAUGAGUAAAUGCACGCUAACUCUUCUGUCUAACAGAUGCCAUAAGUUCAAGACACUAUUUGAAGGUCAUGUUGUAGAUUUGUGGUUAUGAUACUAAAAGUUCGCAACCUGCUACCUCGAUAUUUUCAUUCAUCAAAUGUUACAAAACUCGACUUUUAUUACAGCAAAUAAUACUUGAUCAGUCAAUGAAAAUAUGUUACAGGCCAGUCAUCCUCAUAGGAAUUCUGAUAAUGAUUCCCUCGCAUUAACAACACGUUUCAUUAAGUUUACUCAAACAGAAAUUAAAGAAGUUUCGGUCAAUGAAAAAAAAGAAGAUUUGAAAAGAAGCUGUCUUUCAAGAGUCAUGCACUGUGUAAACACCAAUAGUUACUGAACUUGAAACUUCAGGUCAUCAACCAAUCUGCCUAGAAAGCUUGGUUUAAACACAAAUUGGUCCAUGUAUUGUUAGCCCAUGAAACUGGCAGUAGCUUCCAGAUAGUGUAGCUAUUAUUCCAGAACAUGUGAAAUACAAUUGCAAUGCAGACCAGCUCUAUCCCCAUUCCCCUGAUCGUUCUUUCAAGUUCAAAAAAUACAGAUUCCUUCUAAACCGCAUAAAUGCUACUGAAUGUAUGAAAAAUAAUUGCAAGAAAAGUAAAACAAGAACUUACAGUGAGGGAAAUAAUGCCAGUAACAAGGCCGGUUUUAAUAACCAGUCCAAGGUUGCUUCCAUGAAAAUGCAACAUGUUCCAUGAGGGAGGAUUUAGCCCUUCUUGCAACUUACCAAUCUAAAAAUAACAGAAAGGUCCAAUGAUAAGCAACAUCUUCCAUGAAGGGGUAAUAUAUUUGCGUGGGACCUAAAACUUACAACACUGAUCCCAUGAUGCUGUGCCUUGAAUGCAAAAACCAGGAUAGUAGAUAGGAUCACAGACACAAGAGGGGCUCCAGCUGAAACCCAAAACAGCUUUGGUUUUCUCAUGCUCUGUGAGGCACACGUUACCAUGUAAAAAUUCAAACAUCUAUCACUGUAACAAAGAGAAGGUACUGGAAUAUUUACUGUUUUCUUCCUCUCUUUUUUUAUCAUAUCAGAACAUGUACUGGAAUAUUUACUUAAGAUAAGCCAUUCUAUGGUUUUGAGUUUUCAAAAUCUUAGAAAUCAUUAUUUGCAAAGGAGCUGGUUUGUGCUGAAAAACAUUAGGCCCAUCCAUAGAUUCCGGCCUAUUAUCUAGUCCAUAGGAUGUGCCGAAACAGACCUAAACCAAGCCCAUUUAAACAAUCAAAGAAAAAAAAAAUAGCGUCUCGUGUUUCAUUUCUUUCACUAGUUUAUAUUUAAAUUGUCACGAACUUUAAUUUUUAAUGGAAUGACGCCACCGCUAUGACGGUAAAGAGUAUCUGAAUGCUUUUCUACCAAAAAGGAGGGAAAAAAAGAGAGUAUCUGGAUACCAUAUCUCACUGUAUAAGAAUUAAGAAAGACACUCUGCUGCCUGUAAUGAAAUGAACUAAUAUGACCGGUAUACAGUGGCGAGAGGCCAGAGAGGGUGUAUGAUCUUAUGGUCAUAAGAGAAGAUACGAGGGUGCAUCUAUUCUAGCAGAAAAGAACGACUCCAAUCAAUGAUAAAAGAGGGGGGCAAAACCAGGGAAUAUAGACAAUAAAACCGUCUCUGCAAUAAAUAUUUUUGGAAAAAUAGAAACAGAAAGUGAUUCUCACGGCGGUUUCAAGUACUUGUUAACAGUAAAUACUAUGCAUUUAAUAAUAUGUUACUUCAAGACAAGGAGAGUGGAAAGAAUGACAUACGACGUGUCUAGCCAGUAGAAGGAACACAAGGAAGCAAAACCCCAUCAGUAUCGUUUGCCAUGACCACUGCACAAACAUCAUCUAUAUGGUCAGAAUUAUCCACUCUAAUUUGUAGUACGGUACUAGGAGUAUCAAAUAAUUAGCUGGGAUUUUGUCAAGUUAGACAUCUUUUUGUAGUUUUUUUGUAGUUAACGUAAAUUGCCCUCGGCUACAUAAUGGGAUGGUCCUUCCCGUACUUUAUAGAGUUUGAAUCUGAAACCUUCAGAUGAUUAUUACGCUUUAACCAUUGUACUGUCUGGCAUGGUCUAGCUUUAUGUAGUGAUAAAUAUUGAAUGGGGAGCUGAAAUAGGGAAAAGCUUUGGCUAAUUUAGCAGCUUGAACAAUAACUCUCCCAUCUAAGGUUGUUGUUAAGUGGAUUGAUUAUGCUAUAAUUAUAAUUUCGAUUGGUAGAAUAGUGGGAACCUCACCUUGCAUAAAUUAGGAGGGGGUUCAACUUCUUUAAUUAAUUAUAUAUGCUUGUGUUUUGGUGAGGGGUAAACUAACCAAUUACCUCGUUGAUAUUGUGGAAAGCAGAGCUCAAAACAGGAACGAGUCCCAUUUGUUUGGUGAAAUGAGUGAUUCCAAGGAGGCUUUUUAGUUGUUGGAGAGAGACUAUGACAGCAGCUCCAGCCAUGAAUCCAAUUAGAAUUGCCUUGGAAAGAAAAUCGAUGAUGAAACCAAGCCUGCAGCCAUUCAGGCCAACACAGAAUCAGCACUUUCAGUUGAAAAUUAAGAGGAAAAAUAGGAAAGAAGGCAAGAAAACUUACCUUAACAAUCCUAACGAAGCCUGGAAGAGGCCAGCAAAGAAAGUCGAAGAAAAGGCUAGUUGAAGAAACAAGAGAGGGUCAUUGAUAGGAGAUACUUCUUGCCUAAGCAUUGAUCCCAGUAUAAGAGAAGCAAUAGAAACUGGUCCUACAGCAAGGUCCCUGGAGCUUCCAAGAACAGCAUACACAAGAGGAGGAACAAAGCUAGAAUCUGCAUUUUUUUGUUUCAAGAAAAAGAAAAUUCAAUCAAGCAGUAUUGUAUAUAAAUAGUAAGAUGAAAAAAACAAAGUAAUCAGAACUAUAUUUUACUCACAGAGACCCACUAUGGGAGGUAGACUUGCAAGCUUAGCAUAACUGAUGCCCUAAAAAGAUGAUUACACAGAAGGAUCAACUUAAUGGAUAAAGAUGUUUUAUAAUUACAAUCUUGUUCAAGAUUUAGGAGAAAAAAAAUAUUUGGUUGCUGACCUGUGGAAUGGCUAAGCUGGCAAUGGUAAGGCCGGAAACAAUAUCAGACUUGAAAAGCUUGAAGCUGUAAUUAGGACCCCAUUGAAGAAUGGGAAAGACAUACUGAGCUGCAAGUAUCCAUUUCGUGCCCAAUGGCUGUCUUUUGAAUUGCAGCAGAGGGUCAUCAGGGAAGAAGGUCUCUUUAAGUCUACUCUUGAGCUUCUGUAUGGUGCUCCUAUGGGGUGGUGGGACAACCUUGUGCACCUCCAUAGGUGUUAUUUCCAGGCAAUUAUCAGGUUGCAUGUUAUUGCUGGCGUUAGGCUCCAUGGCAUGGAGAGGGUUUUUGUUUUCUUGAUGUGGUUUGUUUGAGCAAUGCCUCUACUUUUAUAUGAGUGUGCACCCUAUCAAUCAAAUUUCUCUAGACCGCUAGCAAACAAAGUACCUGUCUCCAAGACAGAAAGAAAAGCUAUGGAGAGGAGAGAGAGGUCGGCUCUUGACGAGAGCCUUAUCAAACAAGCAUUCUCUGAUUGAGCCCGCUAACUCUUUUUGCUUCUUACAGAGAUGCGCGCAUUUAUCAUUUACAUGUUAAAACAGGAGGAUUAUAUUAGAAUUUAAUAAAUAAAUAAGAAUUAUCAUUCAAAUUGUUAGAAUCCCUAUGAACGGUCCGCAUAUGUUCCGAAUUUCUAAUCCUAAAGGGUCAUAACGAAAGGCUGGAUGAAAUAUGUGUGCACGAAAAGUUCAUUUCUUUAAUUAUUGGGAAACUGCAUUUCCAUUUAUAAAAGGAAAUGAAGAGAUGACAACUGAUCACAGGGUGCUAAAUAAGUUCUGGUACCGUUCAUUAACAUUCUGGUUGUAAGAAUGGAAGGCAGUCAAGCUAUUGGCACAUGUAUAUAGCUGUCAUAUACACACAUUUCUGAAGGAAUUUUACCAUAAUUAUACCAUGAUGAAGUUUAGAUUACCGUCAUGAAAGAGGCUAAUGCUACUAAAACUUUAUCCUAAGCAUGCCAAUAAUUAACCAACCCCGUAUUGGAGUCUAUGGUUGAUUAGUGUUGCUUCAGACCACUACGAUUUGAGGUAAUGUUCUAGGUUUAUAAUCUCGUUUCAUUUAUAUUCAAUGUGCUUGAGUUCAACAAGUUUGAUCAAUCAUAGCUUUGAAAUAAUAACUUUAAAGUCAUAUUCUACCAUCUUUUCUUCCUUUAAUUUGCGAUCAAAACUUAAAUCCCAGCCUACCAGAUUUGUGUCUUGAAUUUAUAUCAGUUUACUUAUUUAAAUUAACCGUCCUUGUCUGGCAAGGUGAUGGCAAAUGUGGGUUUCCGAAGUUGGAAUAUUCCGAGGAAUAUGCUGCCUCCCCCGGUCUUCAGUUUUAUUUUCGUUUCAGAGACGGCGCGCUUCUCUAUAAGAUGGUUAUGGAUUUUAUGAGGAUGGUUACGAGUCUUUAAUACAGUACAGAGAUGGGUAUCCAAAAUGAGAGUCAGUGUGCAUUCUGUACCACUUAGACCCGAGUUGCCAGUUGCCACAGAUGUUGCUGUACAUUACACAAAAAAAUGACCCGUUUCUAGUUUUCUUUAUCCCCUCCCCUCCCUGUAUUUGCACAAGUUCUGAGAAUUGAAACUAAAAACCUCGUCGAAUCUUGAAUAGACAAUCCAUGCUUAACUCUUGCGUUUAUGAAAAUUUUUUAGUCAUAUUAAGUUUUGAUUUACACGAUAAAUUUACUCUGAACACUUUUUGCUGCUGUUCGUGGUCCUAAUGGAAUUUAGCUGCAAAAUCUUUAAGGCCAUCUUGUUGUUGGGAUGGCUUGUUAGCCACCGCUCCUGCAUUUUUUUACACGGCCACGGCAACGGCAACUGGAAUGCCAAACACACAACACUGUACAAGAACAGGUGCUCUACGGUAUGAAAGAAAUCCCAUCAUUCCAAGGCCAAGCUGAAAAGAUUAUAGAAAUAAAUAAAUAAAAAAUCAACAUGCAAAUGAUACCAGCAGGCAAAAAUCCAACGCGGAAGUGGCUAUUUAUGUCACGGAGUAGGGAAUCUUCAUACAGUUAAUUACUCAAUGGAUCAGCAUACUAUAUUUGUCCCGCUUUUUUUUUCACAGCUCAUGCCAUAUUUGUUUUGUCACAGGAGAGGUGUACAGUGCAGCAUCAGCUGAACAAAUGCUGGUCAAAGGUAAUCACACUGAAUUGUUAUUUGGUAAUGUGAUUUAAGGGUUUUUUUACAAUCUUUUUUAAUCUUUUUUAAUUGAAAAUGCAUUAAUCUUAUUUCUUUAUAUAUAUAUUUUUUAAAAAAAUUUGGCAUUAAUCCAUUAAAAUAAUUUUAAAAAUAAUAAUUUAAUAUUUUUCCAAGAAAAAACAAAUUAAAAAAUACUUUUAAAAACACGUUAAAUUACAAAAACACACCUCCAUAUCACAAUCAGGCAAGAAAUACUAUUCAUAGGUUAAUAGGCUGAUAUAAGUGGGGUUCAGGUUUCACUUGAGAAUCCAAUGAGCAUAGUUAGUCCACUUGUUUAUGUUUAAUGCUUGAGCUUUUCUAUACUGGUAUAUUGAUUAUUAUUAGCUAGUAUGUGAAAACAUCACAAGUGGCCAUUUGGACCCACCAAAAAGUGGUUUGACCUUUCCGAACCAGCCAUGCAAGGGAAGUCCCGCACUAACUGCCAAAGUAUAAUUAUAACUAGCACCAUUAUUUGCAGAGUUCAUAGAAUGGCCACUUUUGAACCAUAACUGUGACAAGAGAUAAGCUCGGCUUUGGAUAUCCAAAUCCUCAUCAAAUCUACUCUUUUAUUUUCCCAUACUUCGAGGUUCUCCCGCACUUACUUUCUUGUUCGAACUCGAGAAUUAUAGGGUUUUAAGGAAAUAAAAGGAUAGAAUAGAAGAAGAGAUUGGAGCAGAAAAGGAGGUAAUCAUUUGUUGUAGAAAGGAAUGACAACGCGAGACACAAAGUUAAGGUGCAAGUAAACGAAUAACUAAUCACGAGCUUUGUUUGAGGUGCUUAUCUUCUUUGUUCUUGCAUCUAUCUGAAUGAAGCGUGAACUCAGCUCAGGCGACGGGCCAUUUAUCUUUGAAUGAUUACAGUAUUUUUGGGAUGAUUAGGUUUUCUUUGAAUGAUUUAAAGUUUAUUAUAAAUAUAUAUUAUGUAACAUUGUUUUAGUGAAAAUAAAACUCUUCGCUACUAUGAAUAUAAUUAUAUUACUUUUAUGUUUUUUCUAGUUUUUUUUAAUUACGGUACUGUUCAUCAAUAAUUGUAGGUUUUUCACAACAAAUAUCUACCUAAAAUGGGAUCAUGGUCAGUGCACUUACAUUUUAGAUUGUGUGCGAUGAUCGUGGAUUUGUAUGAUUAUGAUGUUUAUAUAGAUGUUCAGGGUCACGCAAUUAUCAAUAAUUUACGAGGCUGGUAUAAUAAUCAUCAAAUCGCAUAAUUGCUAAAUGCCCAAAUAGCUUUAGAAUAAAUUUUAAUUUGACAGUAGAUUCGUGACUUAACAGGCAAUCAUGUCUUGCUCUUCCCGAAACAUUAUAGGUGAGAUUUCUCAUUUCUAACUAAAAAUAAGAAAUUGGUUUUUUACAGAGACAGAGGAAGUGAAGAAAGUGAAAGAUUCAAGCUGCCAAUGUGCAGUCUAAGGUCCCAAUUAAAGACUUCAUAAUUUCACAAUUAGCAACAAGCUUAGUUAUUGCCCGGUCAUCCUUGAACCAAAGCUCAAAAAAAAAAACAGAGAGAGACUGUUCGUUCGGCUGGUGCAAAAACCAUUCAAACCCCACUGUAUCGCAAUGAUAUGUGGCAUAAUCUGAAUUCGAGUGCUGAAAGAAAUGGCAUGUGUUAACAACAUGGGCUGCAAGUUCUUUUGUUCUCUAGUUCUGUAACCUUUGAUCAGAAUUCAAUCGCCACUAUCUGAAAAAUGCCUUCUUUCCUCUUGCAACGUGUUCUAAUAGUGAAAAUUCAUCAAGUCUCCCAUUAACCGAAAACAAAACAAAGAAAUUUCCGACCACUCGAUUGUUAGGAGAGGGACCUAUAAAGAAAUGAAUAUUCAGUGAAGCCUGUGUGAAAUGGACAGCCACUUAAAAGAUUCAACAGAAUAGAUCACCACCAUUAUCGCUGCUGCAGUUCUAUCAUUAACACACAUACCAUAAAGAAAAUUUCCAGACCAUGCAUCAUUGCACCAACUUGUUGGAGCUCAUACGAAGGCAUGAAAGACAUGUCUUAAUUUCUUCUCGACCACCACCAGUCAUUUGUUAACUAGCAGAAAAGAUCUUUCGCACCCAGUUCUACUUUUUCAAAUAUAGUUGACAUUGCAAGGACAUUGUUUUGUUUCCCUUUCUUCUUUCAUAUUCCAUCAUCCAUCACUUUGCCCUCCGAAAGCAUAUGACAUGUCUUUGCUGUUUCCAGAGGUUUUCAAUAUCGAAUUAAAGAAAAAUACUACUUUAUAUAUAGGGACAGGACCAUAGCAUUUUAUAAAAGAUUGUGCUUUGCUGCCUUUAUUUUCAUACAUGGAUUCCUGUUCCACGAAUUCCUCCACAGGAUAUCAUUGGGAAAAGAGUUCUACACGUCUCCAUAGCCCAACAUCAACAGCAAGAAGGUCCGAUAGCGACUGAGGUUAUCCGCGCGCGCACAUUAUUUUUUAGGAAGGUCGAGAAAAAAAUUGUUAUUUUUAUUAGGCAACAAUUUAUGAAACUAUAGUUGGUUUUGUUAAAAUAAUUAAUAUUAAACGUAAAAAAGAGAUUAGAAUUCUAAAUAUUUUGUAUAUUAUGAGUGUUUAGUUUUAACCUAAAUACAAAUAAAGUAUAUAUAUAUUAAACUAAAAGUAUUAUUCUAAUUUUAAUAAAUAAAACUACAUUAAUAUUAUUUAACAGGUUUAAAUUUAAAGACUAUCUAAGUAAUUUAAAAACGGGGUGUUAUGAUGUGUUGUAAUCAAUAAAUAAAUAAAUAUAUAUAUAUAUAUAUAUAUAUAUAUAUAUAUAUAUAUAUUUAUUGAUUACAACACAUCAUAACACCCCAUAUAUAUAUAUAUAUAUAUAUAUAUAUAUUUUGAUGGGAUGAAUAGAACAAUGAUGAAAGAAAUAAAAAAAAAAUUCGAAAGAUACAGUGAGGAAAAGGAAGACCAGACUAAAACUGAAAAAUGGAUUCUUAGCAGUUAGGAAUUCCAACAUGGAAAUUGUUGAGAGCCCUGAAAAAAUUAACCACCAGAUUGUAUUCUUCGUGCGAGGAAUAACGAUGGAGCUUAAUAUUCAACCUACUCUGCCUUAUAAAUCAGGGAUUGUCUUCCUCGUGCAUGUCCCUGAAGAAAAAAAAUUAAUAAGUUAAUAAAACCCUUUUUCCCUUAGAAUUCACACACACACACACACGUAUAUAGGUCUUUUUAUCACAAAAAAAAGUACUCCCAAUAUUAACAUCAAAAGGAGAAUUAAUUUCGAAAAUCUAUAAAAAAGAUAAAAACUUUAAAGAAAAGAAAAGGGAAAAUGGAGAACCCAUAAAACAGAAAAGGGCGACGAAAAAAAAUCGGAAUAAAACAAACGAAAGAGGAAAAAGAAAAACAUAACUAUUCUAAGUUCUCGUCAAGUAUACUAGACUAAUUCAUUGGAAUUUCCUCUGAGGUUUCUUUCAAAUCCCCAGCCUUUCAAAUUCAAUUUAAAUUGAUGGAGUUAGCAUAUUGUAGCUAAAUCUAAAAGUUAUUUUAAAAUUUAAGUUUUAAAAAUAAAUCAAACUCCAUUCUUACUCUUAAAAUUUAAAUUUAAAUAAAUCAAACUUCAUUCUUAUACAAGAAUAUAGCACAUGUUCUUUUUACUUGUCAAGUUUGUAUAAGAAAAAAACACUUAUUCUUGUGUAGGAAUGAAGUUUGAAUUAAUUAAUUUAUUUUUUAAAAAAAAAAAGUUGAGAUAUCAUAUAUGACUUGAUACCCCGUGUUAUUUUCCUACUGUUAUUUCCCCAAAUUUGUAUCUACAAUUCUACUUCGCAAAAAAAAAAAAUCUUAUUAAAUAUUUUACACCGCAUGGUUGUAUAAUUAAUAAUUCUUACUGCCAUAUGAAGACCAUCGCGUGGGCGUGCCGGAGUGGUUAUCGGGCAUGACUAGAAAUCAUGUGGGCUCUGCCCGCGCAGGUUCGAAUCCUGCCGCUCACGUUUUGUUUUUGUCUCAUUAUUUUCUACUCUCUCUUUUGCCCUCAUUCUGAGCAUCGUAUUUCACUAUCUCUUCAGAAAUUAAGAGCGGGUUAAUAGUGGAAAUCAUCCCAGUAUUUUUAAUUUCUUCUAAAAUCGAUCUCCAUGUAUUUAAUUUUCUCAACAUGGACCUUAUAUUCACCAUUCCAUUAAUGAAUCAGAGCCGCCCAUAUCAAUUGAAAAGGAGUCAAACCAGCAUUUUAUUCAAUUAAAAUAAAGAAAGAUAUAAGAACCUCCAUCAUGAUUUUUUUUCAUUCCUAGAAGAAUACUUUUUCAUCGAGUCCACGAUAUCUUCGAGAAGUAUCAAACUCAGCUAUACAUGUACAAGCCUGUAAGGACAAAUACCUAGUACAAGUGAUUUUCUUGGGAUUUCUCGAAAAAAAUGACAUAUCAUGUUUAUGAAAUCUAAAUCAAUUGGGCAUCAAAGACUAGCAUUUCAUCCCUGUAAGUUAGUGUGUGAUUAUAAGGUUUUUUCUCUAAAAUCAUUGGUUAUUUUAUAUGGUGAACUUUAUUUUGUGAAAUACUUUAACUGUUGAUCUCAAAUUAAUACUUUGUAUUUCACGAAAAUGAUCCAUCAUGGAGCUUGAAACAUGAUAAAAUACAAGUCCAAUUUUUUAAAUUAAAAAAAUAUAAUCGCAAAAACCUUUUUUGACUUAGAAACCAACAUGUAUCUCAAAAGAAUCGAGGACCAAAAACUUACUUGGAAAAAAAAUAUUAAAAACAGAAGGAUCAGAAUAAUUUUUCGAAAAGUAAAGAGUAAAAAAUGAAAAUCAGUGAAAAUCUAUUUUCGAUGCACAUCGCGGCGGGUAUGGAUUUUGGGGGGUGAUUCUUUAACGCAUGUAUGCUGGGCCGAGUACAGGGCACUGCAUUUUUAAGUGGGUCGGAUUUGGGGUUUGUUUAACGGGCCAGAAUCCAGCCCAUUUUCAUCCCGCUCCUAACCCAUACUUGAAACUGGAUACCCAUAAUGACAUGGAGCCCUUCAAGUAAAUGCAAAACCCUGAUAAAACCCUAGGACCUAAAUCUAGAACCUUCCGUUUCUCUCUAGAGAAACUUGAUCCCCAAUUCCUUCCUCCCCAACGGCAAUCCAACCUCUUGUUUUAAAAGGAGAGAUCUGCAGCUGCAACUUCACUCUUUCAUUUUGCCAGAGUUUCUUAGCAAAAGAAAAGAAUGGCAAGGCGCUUGAUUCCCACUCUUAACCGCGUCCUGGUGGAGAAAAUUAUCCCUCCCUCCAAAACCACUGCUGGUAUUCUUCUCCCUGAGGCAUCCACUAAGGUAAUUCAUUUACUUUUGGUUCUCCUAUAUCUCUGUCUGAAUGUGUUUCUUUGUUAAAUUAAGAUUAGAGUUAAACUAAGUGGGUGUGAUGAGUUUUGAAUGAAAACAGCUUAACUCAGGGAAAGUGAUAUCUGUGGGUCCUGGGUUGAGGAGCUCUGAAGGGAACACUAUCCCUCCAGCUGUGAAGGAAGGUGACACUGUGCUUUUGCCUGAAUAUGGGGGCACCCAAGUCAAGCUUGGUGAAAAAGAGUAUGUAUUCAUAAUGAUUUAAAGUUUUGUUUUAUGGUUCUUUUUUUGGUUUGGUUACUAAUUUAUUUUUGUUGUUGUUGAUCCGUGUUGGUGAUUUUUUUCCUCUUGCAGGUAUGUUUUGUAUAGGGACGAAGAUAUCUUGGGUACUCUUCAUGAGUAGAGAUUAAUUGUUGUCAAUUUAAUGUAUUUUUUGUUUUCCCGGGGUUAUGAUUGAGGCUUUGGGGUUAAUGCACUGCCUGGUUUCUAUGGAUGUAACUGUUAACAAAUUGGGGUUUUUAAUUGAACUGAUGGUAAUAUGCUUUGGAAUAUGAGAAUGGCAAUUGUUCAUCUCUGUUCUUUGCACUACUUUUGGCUUUAAUUACUUCGAAACAGAACCGAAUGGGAAUAAGUACAUAACUGAUUCAAGUAUUGGAAUUUCUGGUGUGCUAUAGUGUAUUUCUUGUGGAAAUGGCUAGCUUGGCCAUGGAGUGUGACUGGGAUUUUUUAUGUAGAGUUUGGUGGGCUUGUUGAUCUUUUAACUCCGUUGCAUGUUGCAUGUUGAUGUUUAUAUGUGUAUUGAAAAUAAACUCAUGGUUGAGAAUAAAUUUUAAAUAAUUUUAUAUGAAAAAUAUAUAAAAAAUUGAAUAUUUAGAUUAAGUAUUUAUCUUAAUGGUAAAAUAUUUUACUUAAAGCACAAUUAAAAUGAAUUUACAUAUUAGAAUUGAUAAUAAAAUUAAAAUAAGCAGUUCGAAUUCACCUAGGAUAAAUUGAUAAAUCUUGAUUUUUGUAUGAGUGGUCGAUGAACACUUAAGAUUUAAGAACUUAAGAAUUUUAUUGAAACUAGUCGGUCGAUUGAUUGGAUCAAUUUGACCUUAUUGGACGUUUAAUUUGAACUUAUUGAACGUUUAAGUUUCUAGUGGAAUUAUAAUGAUUGGUUUAUAUAUAUAUAUAUAUAUACUUGCUUUUAAUUGUAAAGUUAAAAGAAGAUUCGAAAAUGUAUUAUAUAGAAGUUAUUAUUAUAAGCAAAAUAAUUAUAAAAUCAUUAAUUAUUAAUCAUAUUUUAAUUUAUGAUAUUAUAAAUUUAUAUUCUAGCAUAGAAGUAUUUAUUUUUAUUUUCACAACACUUAAACACAAUUGUGAGUUAUAGAGAGAUUAUAAUUUAAAUUGUAUUGUCCCCUGUACUGUACUAAGAGAGUUGUGAAAAACAAAUUAUUCAUGUAGAUUUUCGAGAGUUCGGUAAAAAUUCUAGGUACUAGUAAUAAAAUUUCAUCAAGAGAGAAAUCUUGAAGAUAAUCGGAUGAGAAAAAUUCUUGAAUAAAUAAUUUCUUCGAGUGGUGUAUAAAAAUAAUUGUAGUUUCAUUGAGUAGUUAUUAUAUUCUUGAACCUAAACUAGUGAAGAAAUACAAUUGUAACAACCAUUGAAAAUUUUUAGGUAAUUUUUUUUUAUAGGUUCCACCAGAAUUUCUACUAAAAUUUUGGCAGAGUCUCCCGUAACUAGAUCUACUAAAAUUUUGGCAGAGUUUCACCUAACUAAAAGGUUUCAAGUUAUCGAUAAAAUCAUAUUACACUUUCAAUUAAUCGUCAUUAACAUAACACAUCUAAUUCAAUAACAUGAGAUUUUAUCGGUGCCGAUAUUUCUUACAUUGAUUAGUCGAUCUCGAACAAUUGGGUGACUAAUGAUGUUAGUAAAGAUUACUAGUAUCGACAUGAUUACUCCUGCUUAAGUGAAAAAGAUAAGUUGAUUAAUUAUUUCAAGUCGAGAAUAAUUAAUGAUCAAUGAGUUAUAUUGGUAUCGACAACCAUUUCGGGUGUGAUUAGUUACUCUAAGUAAGGAGGCUAGUGAUGUCAAUGAUUCUUGACAUCGGCAACUUUGAUGGUAAACCAUAUAUGAAUAAGAUUUGAUAAACUAUUAUGGGGAAGAAUAUCGGCACGUGAAUGUAACUGAUUAGUUUAACUCAAUACUGAGAGACUAAUGAUACUAAUGAGAUUCGUUAGUAUUAACAAUUAUCUUAAAAAAAAUAAGAGGAAAAAUAUUGAUUAGUUAUUCCAAAAGAAUAAGAUAAACUAACGAUAUCAAGAGAGGAAUAUCUUAGUAUCAAGUGAGAAUUGAUUUAUAAGGAAAUGGAGUUUGAAAACCGCUGAGUUGUGUUGAGAUUUUCAAAAUGAGAUUAUUCUCGACAAAUGAGAUAGGAUAUUAGAUGUAUACUGAUAAUAGAUAGAAAAUGUAUAUUGUAAAAGAGGUUUAUACCUUUAAAACAACAAAGAGGCCACCAGUCCAAAAAAAAAGAAGGAGAGACAAUAGAAAAAAUUCAGCUAGAAAGAGAAGUGUAGAAUUUAGAAGAGCCAAUAAUGCUCCAGUGGCCCUAUCUCUAACAUCCACUGUUGGAUCAUGUUAAUUUUUGAUUAUGUUGUUCUUCUCACAAUCUUCUACUAAUUGACCAGAGGGAUUGGAAAGCACGUAAUCCGUUUGACAGAAAUCAUCAUUGGCAUUUUCCUGGAAAACAAAAGGAAAUACACUUGCAGGGCAGUUUUGGUCGCCGGUUCUCUCUCUUCCACCGUUGGAUUAUAUCAAUUUGUUGAUAUAUGGUGUGCCUAGAUGUUGCCUUCAUUCUGGAUGGUGGAGAUCGGAAACACACGCUUCGGCAGGGUUUCGUUCAUGUUGAACAAUAGCUCGUUCAUUUUUAGGUUAGUUCAGUAAUAUUCAGAUCUAGGGAGAUCUAACCGUUGGAUCGUUCUGAUUUUGUGAUAUAAUGUGCAUGAUUCUAAGAUGUAUGUUCUGAGUUUUGGGUUCUAAAACAAAAGCUAAGGUGGAUGAACUAUUGUCUUUUGAAUCUAUUGCUAGUUUCUUAAAUUUGGCCAAAACUAACAAUAGAGUCAAAAGGCAAUAGGACAUCCACCUUAGAUGUUAUUUUAGAACGCAACGGUCAGAAUAUAGAUCUCAGAAUCAUGCACAAUACUUCUCAAAUUCAGAAUGAUCCAACGGUUAAAUCACCCUAAAUCUGAAUAAAACCGAGCUAACAUGAAAAUUGACGAGCUACUGUUUAACAUAAACGACACAUUUUUGAAAGGUGUGUUUCCGAUCUCCACCGUUCAUAAUAAAGGCAACAUAUAGGCGCACCAUAUAUCAAAAAAUAAACAUAAUCCAACGGUGGAAGAGAGAUAAAUCGGCCAGUAACCAAAACUGCCCUGCAGGUGUAUUUCCUUUUAUCUUCUAGAAAAUUGCCGAUGAUGAUUUCUAUCAAACAAAUUACUUGCCUUCAAAUCCCUCCGGUCAGUUAGUAGAGGAGUGUGAGAAGAACAACAUAACCAAAACGCAGCACGAUCCAACGGUGUAUUCCAGAGAUAUUGCCAUCGGAGUAUUAUUGGCUCCUCCAAAUUCUGCACUUCUCUCUCUAGCCGAAUUUUCUCUAUUGUCUCUCUGUUUUUUUUUG
rnacentral:lncRNA from 1 species